rnacentral:rRNA from 1 species
AUUGAACGCUGGCGGCAGGCCUAACACAUGCAAGUCAAGCGGAUGAAGGGAGCUUGCUCCUGGAUUCAGCGGCGGACGGGUGAGUAAUGCCUAGGAAUCUGCCUGGUAGUGGGGGAUAACGUCCGGAAACGGACGCUAAUACCGCAUACGUCCUGAGGGAGAAAGUGGGGGAUCUUCGGACCUCACGCUAUCAGAUGAGCCUAGGUCGGAUUAGCUAGUUGGUGGGGUAAAGGCCUACCAAGGCGACGAUCCGUAACUGGUCUGAGAGGAUGAUCAGUCACACUGGAACUGAGACACGGUCCAGACUCCUACGGGAGGCAGCAGUGGGGAAUAUUGGACAAUGGGCGAAAGCCUGAUCCAGCCAUGCCGCGUGUGUGAAGAAGGUCUUCGGAUUGUAAAGCACUUUAAGUUGGGAGGAAGGGCAGUAAGUUAAUACCUUGCUGUUUUGACGUUACCAACAGAAUAAGCACCGGCUAACUUCGUG